rnacentral:rRNA from 1 species
GAUGAACGCUGGCGGCGUGCCUAAUACAUGCAAGUCGAGCGAACGGACGAUAAGCUUGCUUCUCUGCUGUUAGCGGCGGACGGGUGAGUAACACGUGGAUAACCUACCUCUUAUACUUGGAUAACUUCGGGAAACCGGUGCUACUACCGGAUAAUAUUUUGUACCGCAUGGUUCAAAAGUGCUAGACGGUUUUGCUGUCACUUAUAGAUGGAUCCGCGGUGCAUUAGCUAGUUGGUAAGGUAACGGCUUACCAAGGCAACGAUGCAUAGCCGACCUGAGAGGAUGAUCGGCCACACUGGAACUGAGACACGGUCCAGACUCCUACGGGAGGCAGCAGUAGGGAAUCUUCCGCAAUGGGCGAAAGCCUGACGGAGCAACGCCGCGUGAGUGAAGAAGGUCUUCGGAUCGUAAAACUCUGUUAUUAGGGAAGAACAUAUGUAUAAGUAAAUGUGCACAUUUUGACGGUACCUAAACAGAAAGCAACGGCUAACUACGUG